rnacentral:RNase_P_RNA from 1 species
UGAGACGGACGAGGAAUCGCUUCACUUGCAUUUCGGUGCAAGCGGGGAGGAACCUCCGGACUCCAAAGGCAGGGUGCCCGUUUAAAUACGCUUAGAUUUUAAGCGAAAAUAGAGCGGGGGUAAGCGGCUAUAUCCGCUUAUACGGAAAGUGCAGCAGAAAAAAUACCGCCCCACCACCUCUUUUAUCGUAUUUCGGCGUAAGCGCUGAAAAUAAUUCACGAAGUGAAUUUACCAUGCUUUGCAUGGUGUGAUAAAAGAGGUGGUGGGGUAAGGGUGAAAUGGUGCCCCUCCUUCGCGAGGGCUUGUUCGCUUCGGCGGGCAAGGGUAAGAGCGCACCGUCCACUGAAGUAAUUCGGUGGCGCAUGGAAAACCCCACUUGGUGCAAGGCCAAAUAUGCGUAUGGAUCGCCUGUCCUUCCCUUCGGGGAAAACGCAGAGUGGGCCGCUUAGAUAAAUGGUUCCAUAAAACAGAAUCCGGGGUACUGUCCGUCUCAAAAA